ensembl:lncRNA
UGCAUCUAUACAGGGUGCUUUCGGUGCAACGCUAACCGAAAAUAUCUGUUCAGAGAUAUUAAAUUUACUUCAGAGGAGGUAAAUUUUAAAAAGCAAGUAAAUGCACAGAACUGAAAUGGUUAUAUUUACAAGAAAAUAUGAUUAAAAAAUAUUAAUGCUUUAUAACAUAAUGAAAGACAUUUUCUAUAUUUUCUAUAACAUAGAAAAUUACAAAAAAUCAUUUAAAAAGUCAAAAAACAAAAACCCACCCACCCAUCCGCUACUGCUACUCCACAAAACCAAAACAAAAAAAAAAAAUCCAACCAACCAAAGCAAAACUCAGAAAUACCCAUGCAAAUGGGGGCCAAUUAAAAAACCCCACAAUAUUCACAGAAUUCGCAGUAUUCAUAGAAUGACUAGGUUGGAAAAGACCUUAAAGAUCAUCGAGUCCAACCCAUGCCUUAACACGUCAACUAAAACAUAGCACUGCGUGCCACAUCCAGUCUUCUUUUAAACACAUCCAGGGAUGGUGACUUCAUCACCUCCCUGGGCAGGUCAUUACAGAACUUUAUCACCCUUUCUAUAAAAAUAUUCUUCCCUAUAUCCAACCCAUAUUUCCCUUGGUGCAGCUUGUGACUGUGUCCUCUGGUUCUGUCAGUGCUGCCUGGAGAAAGAGACCAACCCCCACGUAACUAUGACCACGUUUCAGGGAGUUGAAGAGAGUAAUAAGGUCACCUCUGAGUCUCCUUUUCUCCAGGCCAAGCACCCCCAUCUCCCUCAGUCAUUCCUCACAGGACUUGUGUUCCAAGCCCCUCACCAGCCUCGUUGCCCUCCUCUGGAUGCGCUCAAGCAUCUCAAUGUCCUUCCCAAACUGAGGGCCCAGAACUGGACACAGCACUCAAGGUGCAGCCUCACCAUUGCUGAGUACAGGGGAAGGAUAACAUCCCUGCUCCUGAUGGCCAGGAUGCUGUUGGCAUCCUGAUAGAGGCCAGGAUGCCAUUGGCCAUCUUGGCCAUCAGGGCACACUGCUGGCUUAUGUUGAGCCAGCUCUCAACACCCCCAGGUCGUUUUCCACCUGAGCCCUGUCCAGUUACACUGUCCCCAGCCUAUAACAUUGUAGGAGUUAUUGUGGCCACAAUGCAGGACUUGGCACUUGGACUUAUUCAACUUCAUCCUAUUGUACUCUGCCCAUCCAUUCGACCAUUCCAGGUCUCUCUGCAGAGCUCUCCUACCCUCCAACAGAUUGACACAAACUCCCAGCUUAGUGUCAUACACAAACUUACUAAUGAAAGACUCAAUCCCCUCCUCUAUGUCAUUAAUAAAGAUAUUAAACAGGACUGGUUCCAGCACAGAGCCCUGAGGGACACCACUGGUGCCUGUCCCCAGCUGGAUGCAGCACUGUUCACCACCACUCUUUGGGCCGGCCAUCCAGCCAGUUCUGAGCCCAGCACAGAGUGCUCCUGUCCCAGCUGUGGGGGCUGCAGCUUUUCCAGGAGUUUGCUGUGGGAGACAGAGCUGGAGUCCAAAUACACAACAUCCACAGCCUUUCCUGCAUCCAUCAAGUGGGUCAUUUGGUCAUAAAAGGAGAUCAGGUUGGUCAGACACAACCUACCCCUCCUAAACCCCUGCUAGCUGUGUCUGACACCCUGGCCAUCCUGUAAGCGCUGUGGGAUGACACUCAGUGUAAACUGUUCCAUCACCUUACCGGGUACUGAGGUCAGGCUAAACGGCCUAUAAUUAACAGGAUCUUCCUUCCCCCCCUUUUUAUGAAUAGGUGUCACAUUGGCCAGCUUCCAGUCAUCUAGAACCUUACCAGUGAGCCAGGACUGCUGGUAAAUGAUGGAGAGUGGCUUCACAAGCUCAUCUGCCAUCUCUCUCAUCACCCUGGGGUGGAUCCCAUCCAGGCCCAUAGAUUUAUGAACAUCCAAGCAUCUCAGCAAUACUGUGACUGCCUCCUCCUGGAUAACAGGGGGCUCAUUCUGCUCCCUGACACCAUCUACCAACUCAGGAGGACAGUUGUCCUGAAAGCAAGUCUUCCAACUAAAAUCUGAGGCAAAGAAGACAUUAAGCACUUCUGCCUUCUCCUCAUCUGCAGUUACUAAGUUCCCUUCUGCAUCUAAUAAAGAACAAAGGUUGUUCUUACUCUUCCUUUUACCAUUACUGUAUUUAUAAAACCAUUUUUUAUCAUCCUUUACAAAUGUUGCCAUUUUAAGUUCAAACAGAGCUUUGGCCUCCCUAACUUUUUUCCUACAUACUCUAGGAGUCCCCUUAAAUGCCUCCUGAGAAACCUCCUUCCAAAAAUAAUGCAUCACUUUUUUAUUCCUAAGCUCCUCCAAAACCUCCUUGCCCAUCCAGGUUGGGUGUUUGCCUUGUCGUCUUAUCUCUCAGCACACAGGGACAGUCUGUUCCUGUGCCCUCGAGAUCUCUGUUUUGAAGCACGCCCACCCUUCCUGAACUCCUUUGUUUUUAAGAACUGCUUCCCAAGGAACUCUCUGAAUAAGUCUCCUGAGUAGGCUGAAGUGUGCCCUCUAGAAGUCCAGUGUGAAAGUCAUAUUAAUGUUCCUUCUGAUUUCACCAAAUAGUGAGAAUUCUAUAAUUUCAUGAUCACUGUGUCCUAA